AAUUGAUUUUGUUUGUUGAAUAAAAAGAGAAAAAAUAUGACGAAAAUUCUCAUGUUUUUUUUCGUGUUAUGGUCUGUUUUUCUUGCUUUUGUUGUAAGUGGCGUAAGUGCCGGACAAUAUGUGCCGUGUAAAGAGGAUAGGGACUGCGCUUACAUAUUAUGUUUAUCUUGGCAUAAACAUUGGUCUACGCGUUGUGUUAAUGGUGAAUGUGUCUGUUAGUUAAGUUGAGAAUUAAUACUACGAAAAUAACUUAUGUCAAAGCUUAUAAAUUUAUUAGAAAUCUUAAUAUUGUCACUCUAAUAUUAUAAGUUUGAGUGAACUAUACUUUGUUUUUCAUAAUGGAAAUGAUUUGAGUAUUAGCUUCAUUUAUGGUUCUUAAUUUGAUAA